CCUACGGGUGGCAGCAGUGAGGAAUAUUGGUCAAUGGGCGAUAGCCUGAACCAGCCAAGUCGCGUGAAGGAUGACUGCCCUACGGGUUGUAAACUUCUUUUAUCUGGGAAUAAAGAGCAGUAUGUAUACCUCUUUGCAUGUACCUUAUGAAUAAGGAUCGGCUAACUCCGUGCCAGCAGCCGCGGUAAUACGGAGGAUCCGAGCGUUAUCCGGAUUUAUUGGGUUUAAAGGGAGCGUAAGCGGGGUGUGAAGUCGGUUGUGAAAGUUUGCGGCUCAACCCUAAAAUUGCAGUUGAAACUGGCAUCCUUGAGUACGGUAGAGGUAGGCGGAAUGCGUGGUGUAGCGGUGAAAUGCUUAGAUAUCACGCAGAACUCCGAUUGCGAAGGCAGCCUGCUGGACUGUAACUGACGCUGAUGCACGAAAGUGUGGGUAUCAAACAGGAUUAGAUACCCUAGUAGUC
rnacentral:rRNA from 1 species